rnacentral:rRNA from 3 species
CGAGUGGCGGACGGGUGAGUAAUGCUUGGGAACUUGCCUUUGCGAGGGGGAUAACAGUUGGAAACGACUGCUAAUACCGCAUAACGUCUACGGACCAAACGGGGCUUAGGCUCCGGCGCAGAGAGAGGCCCAAGUGAGAUUAGCUAGUUGGUGAGGUAAAGGCUCACCAAGGCGACGAUCUCUAGCUGUUCUGAGAGGAAGAUCAGCCACACUGGGACUGAGACACGGCCCAGACUCCUACGGGAGGCAGCAGUGGGGAAUAUUGCACAAUGGGGGAAACCCUGAUGCAGCCAUGCCGCGUGUGUGAAGAAGGCCUUCGGGUUGUAAAGCACUUUCAGUUGUGAGGAAAAGUGAGUAGUUAAUACCUGCUCACCGUGACGUUAGCAACAGAAGAAGCACCGGCUAACUCCGUGCCAGCAGCCGCGGUAAUACGGAGGGUGCGAGCGUUAAUCGGAAUUACUGG